UUUUAGCCCCGAUAAAAGCGGCAUCCUUCUAUUUCCGACACAGCGGACAUAAAGAAUAGAGCGGUUAGCGGGAGAUAAC
rnacentral:sRNA from 1 species